rnacentral:rRNA from 1 species
UACGGGGGGGGCAAGCGUUGUUCGGAAUUACUGGGCGUAAAGGGUUCGUAGGUGGCCAACUAAGUCAGACGUGAAAUCCCUCAGCUUAACUGGGGAACUGCGUCUGAGACUGGAUGGCUUGAGUGCAGGAGAGGAACGCGGAAUUCCUGGUGUAGCGGUGAAAUGCGUAGAUAUCAGGAGGAACACCUGUGGUGUAGACGGCUUACUGGACCAUGACUGACGCUGAGGCACGAAAGCGUGGGGAGCAAACAGG